GGAGAGCUGCCGGAGCGGCCGAACGGGCUUGAUUCGAAAUCAAGUGAACCCUCGCGGGUUCCGAGGGUUCAAAUCCCUCGCUCUCCGCCA
rnacentral:tRNA from 1 species